GUGACCGAGCGCGCGCGACAAUGCCCGAACGCGAAAUGCGUAGAACAAUCAUCUCGUGUAUUUGGGAGUGAGAAUGUUGAUGUUUUAUCUCCUUCUCUCUCUGCACUAUUCUGGAGCAGAUUUCAGAGAAGGAAUAUAUAUUGUCUUUCGAGGAGUAAUUAAACGUAUAAGGAUGGAAAUGACACUUGAUGAGAAAUACAUGGAAUUCUAACAAUGUUCCUUUAUCUACUCUGAACGUGAACCAUUUAUAUGUAAAUAUAUUUCUUUCGGAAGAACGAGAAAGAUGUUUGUGUUAUAUCGAAACUGCACUUUCGCAGAAAAAAAUUCAACGACUAAAUGUUAAUAAAAUC